GCACUGUGAGGAGAAAAAAAAAAUCAGCAUCGGGUCUUGCAGAGGGACGACGCACUCUUGUUUUGUUUUGUGGAAAUCGGCAAUUAUUUCCAGUUGGAUCAAUGGGUAUAAUUUCUAAGUGGUCGGGUGCGUCUGCGUAAGCUUCUGCGUGCAUUUUGAAACCCAUUCCGUUUUGAGUUGCGAAACGAACCGCGUAGACUUGCCCCCACCCCGGCGGCGGCGCCCACCAAUAAGUUAGGCCUGCUUUACACAGAGCCAGCGAGCGCCAGGCCUUCCCGAGGGACCUCAGGAGCAGCGGAGUGGUCUUUCGAAGGUUUUAUUCAGCUCCCAGCUUCCCAGCUCUGGGCCUUCGGGGAAAGAGCCUUGGCUGUGUUUAUUAUUAGUCAGUAUUCGAUAUGCACUUCCAAUAUUCCACCAGUUGUGGUUAUCGCUCUUGAUUCAUGUGUGUGGAUGGGUUGUUUGGUUUUUCAAAUCAAGGAUUAUGAGAUAAGAAACGGGACUGUUUCUCUAGACAACCAGCUGUUAGGAGAGCCGCUCUCUCAAAGACACAAGAAGGCAACAGUAGAGUUCGCUGGCAAAGGAUUUGCCUUCCAAGUCCCCUCUAGUUUGGGUGGUCACCAGUCCCUAAGGGUUAGGGGUCUGAACUGAGAUUACCUGGAGACUCUGCAGGCUGCGCUGAGCCCAGGGAAUUCGAAUCCUAUCUGCAACCCAGAACUCGAUGAAAUCUUGCGGGUGUAGACACCAUCAGCAGCUCCAAAAAGUAUGUGUGUGGUGACCUUGUUGCCAGAGACUUAGGCUACUAACGCUAAGCCUGGGGUCCCCCAUCAGGGGAAAGGAACCUGUCUGGACCCCCGACACAUACCCUGACUGAAGGGUGCCAUGGAAACUUGGGAGUGCACUGUUCUCUGGGGCUCUGGAAAAGACAAAUUUUCUUUGGCAGAAGGAAUGGUGUCGCGCUGUCGACACGAAAGACUAUUUUUCUUGUUCCCUUUGGAGGGAGGGGGUAGAAAGAAAGCAAGAAAGAAAGGAAAAUUAAAUCCACACGUGUUGUUGAGCUUGCUCGAAGGGCCAGAUUGAAAAUCAGAGAUGAAGCUACACCCCAAAGUCAGCGGCCUCCAGAGGCCCUUUCCAGCCAGCCUACCCGAGGAAGCAAAGCGAGGAGUCCCACCAGAGAGAAUCCAACCCCAGUUUCAUAAAGGGCUGUGCUUAAGGGGGAGGGGAGGCGAUGCCUCACCCUGGGCCAGGAAAACAAAGGAGAAAUUGAGAAUGGUUACUUCUGUAUAUCAGUUCAAUGUGAUGCCUCCAAACUCAGUUCACAUUCAUGCAGAGGCCAAAGCGGGCCAGGCCUGUGGUUUGGGAACUCUGUUCCUUCCUUACUCGUGGCCACAUCUUAUUUUGAACUACAUAGUCAAGAGGACCUAAGCAAGAAAUAAUUUUACCUACACUGAUGCAGCUCCUCAGUCUUCCAGGAUAAUUCUUGUGGCCCUCAAUUGCCUUUAUUUUUUUUUUCCUCUCCUGAGAGAAAUUUGCAAGACCCCAGUCUGGGAGUCGGCUGCCCUCAGCUGGGGCCCACUGAGAGGGAGAAGGUGCAGAGAGUCGACACUCCUGCCUGGAGCUGCGAGUGAAAACUCUGUCACAGCUGGAAGAACACUGGAGAGAGAGGCCGGAGACAUAACUGGUCAGGAUGGGAGAGCUAUGUCGUGGACCCUGGGUUUCUCAUCACUAUGGCAACAAGAGUCACCCACACUUUCAACAAUAGAAAUGGAGGGACAGAACAGCCCUGUGCCCCUCAGUGUCCUAAGGCCUGAAGAUGCUCCCACUUGUGUCCUUGGCUUUCCCAAGAAAAUGGAUAGCAUCGGCCUCACCCAGGACUCCUAGACAGAACCAUAACCAGGCCUGGAGUUUUAGGUGUUCUCCACUCUAUGCCCCCCUGGUCCCUUCAGUGUUGGGGACACCAUGGGCAGGUACUCUAGCCAUCCCUCCAAUGGCCUGGAGCAACUUCUUCAUGGCAGGAAGAAGUCAGACACUAAUGGUAAAUGACACCCCGCUUUGUUCUAGGAGCAACAACAGCAACAACAAAAACAAGAGUUUGGUUAUGGAUGUGGCAGAGGAAAUAAAGGAUUAUUCUGUUUGAAUUGUCCCUUAAAUCCUUGGUGUAAGGAGAGAAAAUGUUCUUCUUUUGGGGGUGGAGGUGGGCGGAGGCCAGUACAGCCUAAGUGUCUUGUGUCUAUGUGAGAGGCAAUAAGCUUGGAGAAAGAAAGGGGUGCCACCCCUGCCACCACUAACUGCACAGCUUGGCAGAGAGAAGAGAGAGACAGAGAGAGAGAGAGAGAGAGAGAGAGAGUCUAGAUCCAGAGAUACCCAUAGAGGCUCUGGGACUGAGGGGUGGGAGCUUGUUUUCUGCUGUGGGUAAACCCAACACUCUCAGAACCGACCAGAGGAGAUGAAUAAUCAGUCAUCUCUUUUAUCCAAUUUCAUGGUGGAGCAACUAGUGUUAGCAAAGCUCCUAGCCACCCACCCGGUGGCAUAUUACCCAGCCUUUCUGGUCUCAGCCUGGUGAGGCAGGUAGGGGUGGGGACAGAUACAGUGUCCUCCACUUAUUCUGUUCUUAGCUAUUUUCUUUCAGUUUUUUUUUUUUUUUUUGGAGAUGGGGCUCAUGUAGCCCAGGCUGGCUCCAAUUUCCUAUGUUUGCUCAGGAUGACCUUGAACCGAUCUUCCUCCUGCCCCCAACUCUCCAGUGCUGGGAUUACAGGCUUGUUUUUUGGGAGUACUAGGGGUGGCGAGGACUGAACCCUAAGUAAGCACUCUACAUCACCCAAUUCUCAUUCCCACUAUUUUCGUAUUCUUGUUUUCUCAAGAGUCUCGCUGGUGUCUACACACACACAGAUAUUUUAGACUCAUGAAUCUGCCAGCACUUGAGGUUCAAGACCAAUGAACUUUUUCAGCAAGCAAGAACUGCCUUGACAUGAGUCCCCAUGGCUCAUUCAGCUCCAUACAGUCCUGCCAGGAAGAGACAUUCACAUGUGUUCCCAACAUUGUAGAAGAGGUUUCUGGGGGCACUGACCUGGGUCCCAGUCAGGAGAAAGUUGACUCCAGGCACUCUGAGUACAGAGUCCCCCCAGCACCUUCGUCAUUAGCCUCUGUGGCUUCUCUGAAGAGCCUGGGGACCACUCCCGAAGAGAUCCAUUAGGCUGGUGGCGGAGAGAAGCAGGUCAUCUUGGGUCUCUCUGCUGCGGUGGCUUCCUGGGGCUCAAGUGCGGGUCUUGGAAGAGUGCUCAAGUCUGUACCCUGGCUGCCUGAAUCAAGAAGAUGAGGACUUCCUUGGAAGGGGGAUUGCGAACAUAGUCCAGCAGAGUGCCCGAAAUGGAAACUUUGGAAUUCCUACUCUCAAGUCCUCUCCCUAGGAUCCCUGCACCUGACUGCCUGCACCUGCCUCUCUGCACCUGGCUCCCUGCACCUGGUUCCCUGCACCUGGCUGCCUUUAACCACCACACUGGGAACACUUUCGAGAGAAGACUUCUAGAUCUCCAGGACUGGGGCCUUCCAAUCUUCCCACUUCUACUCCCACGUGCUGGCUGUAGACAUUGCCAGCACACCCAUUUAUGCUGUGCUGGGGAUGAAACCUGGGGCCUUAUACUUGCUGGGCAAGCUUCCUACUGACAGAGUAACAUUCCUAGACGCUGUUGUUGUGGUUGACUUUUUGUUUGCUUGUUUUUAAGACAGUGCCUCAAUAUACAGACUAGGCUGUCCUAACACUCACAGAUCCUCCUGCCUCUGCCUCACAAGUGCUAGGGUUAAAGGCAUACACCCCCAUGCCCAGCCUAUCAUUGAAUAUUAGGUACGAUUGUGUGUCACCUGGCAAGGGAGUUUGUGUCAUUGUGUGGACUUCCUUGAGGUAUUAAAUAUACACACGUAAA